ACUGUAGGGCCCCAUUCAUACAGCAGGUUAGGUUCUGGGAUACUUGUACAGCAGGUUAGGUUUUGGGCCACUGUAGGGCCAUGCUUAUGCAGCAGGUUCGAUUCUGGGCUACUGUAGGGCCCCCAAUUAUACAGCAGGAUAGGUUCUGGGGUACUAUAGGGCCUCACUUGUACAGCAAGUUAGGUUCUGGGGUACUGUGGGGCCCCACUUAUAUAGCAGGCUAGGUUCUGGGCUACAGUAGGACCCCACUUACACAGGUUAGGUUCUGGGCUACUGUAGAGCCCCACUUAUACAGCAGGUUAGGUUCUGAGCUACUGUAGGGCCCUAAUACAGCAGGUUAGGUUCUGGGCUACUGUAGGGCCCCACUUAUACAGCAGGUUAGGUUCUGAGCUACUGUAGGGCCCCACUUAUACAGCAGGUUAGGUUCUGAGCUACUGUAGGGCCUCACUUAUACAGCAGGUUAGGUUCUGAGCUACUGUAGGGCCUCACUUAUACAGCAGGUUAGGUUCUGAGCUACUGUAGGGCCCCACUUAUACAGCAGGUUAGGUUCUGAGCUACUGUAGGGCCCCACUUAUACAGCAGGGUAGGUUCUGAGCUACUGUAGGGCCUCACUUGUACAGCAGGUUAGGUUCUGAGCUACUGUAGGGCCCCACUUAUACAGCAGGUUAGGUUCUGAGCUACUGUAGGGCCCCACUUAUACAGCAGGUUAGGUUCUGAGCUACUGUAGGGCCCCACUUAUACAGCAGGUUAGGUUCUGAGCUACUGUAGGGCCCCACUUAUACAGCAGGUUAGGUUCUGAGCUACUGUAGGGCCCCACUUAUACAGCAGGUUAGGUUCUGAGCUACUGUAGGGCCCCACUUAUACAGCAGGUUAGGUUCUGAGCUACUGUAGGGCCCCACUUAUACAGCAGGUUAGGUUCUGAGCUACUGUAGGGCCCCACUUAUACAGCAGGUUAGGUUCUGAGCUACUGUAGGGCCCCACUUAUACAGCAGGUUAGGUUCUGAGCUACUGUAGGGCCCCACUUAUACAGCAGGUUAGGUUCUGAGCUACUGUAGGGCCCCAUUUAUACAGCAGGUUAGGUUCUGAGCUACUGUAGGGCCACACUUAUACAGCAGGUUAGGUUCUGAGCUACUGUAUGGCCUCACUUAUACAGCAGGUUAGGUUCUGAGCUACUGUAGGGCCCCACUUAUACAGCAGGUUAGCUUCUGAGCUACUGUAGGGCCCCACUUAUACAGCAGGUUAUGUCGAGAUACUUUACGGUGAAAAUCACUGUAAAGUGAAACAGUGUUUUUUUUCACUUUCAAAUACAUAUAAAAGCCUGAUAACAUUUACACUAUCAUAUAUUAAAUAAGCAAUAGAUUUAGUCUUAAAAGAAACCAUUUGCUAUUUCAGUCUAAUACAGAGAAUAGUAGUAGUUUGAGGUAAUUAGUGUCUCGCCCUAGAUUCAACUACCAGGCUGUGGGAGUGAUUACCUCAAACUCCUCUUGCUCUUCUCUGUACUGAACUGAAGAAGCCUCUGGCUGAUAAAACGUUUCCAUAAUAAAGUUUCCCAAAUGUUGUCCAAGUCUCUCAUUCUUCAAUCAGGUACGUUGAUGUUGGCGACUUUCAAAGAAAUUAAUCCCGACCUUCCUUUCUUUGGAUCAAACCUGAUUACCCGCUAUUCUCCCAGGUCUUGUAUGACUGGGGUAGUACCUCUGAUUCAUGGGACCAUCCCUUUCCUGUAUGGGCUUUACCCCAAUGGAAAUGUCACUUGUCCUUUUUGGGGUUAUUCUAGGCAAUUUACACUAUAAUUGUAGUUGUGCCUAAAUAAACUUACGCAGGACCCUGAUAAAGACAUCCUUUCACAGGAACAAGGCUCUCGCAUAUAUCAGCAAUUUAGUGUAAUCACCCAUAAGGCUGGGCUAUGGUCUGCACAAACACCUUUCUAGGACUCUACUAUUUCAUAUCUGAAUAAAUAACAAAAAGGCACAAUAUCGUGACUGGAACGAUACACAAAUAACCCGCACAUAAAAGAAAGAAGCUUACGACGACGUUUCGGUCCGACUUGGACCAUUGACAGUCACACUUUGUCAAUGGUCCAAGUCGGACCGAAACGUCGUCGUAAGCUUCUCUCUUUUAUGUGCGGGUUAUUUGUGUAUAUUUCAUAUCUGCCUCUUCAUUUAGGUUAAUAGUGGUAGAAUUCUAGGUGGGAUGUGUUCCCCACACUUACAAUAAUAAUAUUUAUUUCUACCAGUACAAUUUAUACAGACCAUAGCUGACAUCAAUGACCUAAGUGUAAUAUAGAAAGUCCCUGGUUAUGCAGAGCAUUUCUGGCAACUUAGGUUAAUUUUGUCCCCAGGAUGCCACCCACACUAGUCCACUAACAUCCAGGUACCUACUCACAGCUAGUGUCUUAAGGAAACAUGCCCAAUGUUUCCACCCAUACUGGGGAUUGAACCAUUGACCUCGGUGUGUGAGCUGAGUACGCUACCAACCCAGCUACAGUACACUUACUCUUACCUCCUUGCUUAAAGUACCACCUUUUAACACAGAUGCACUCAUCCUUUAACCCAAACUUAACUUUCUGCACCAACAUUAAUGUAUCUCUUGCGCUCUUCCCUACCCCCACUAACCUUCACCUUACCUUUGAAGAGUUCCAAGAUUUUUUUUUUUCUUCCCAGAGUCCAGCCUUGAGCCCAGCUCUUGUACACCCUACCCCUCAAUCCCUUGAAACUGCAUAUUCUUCCCCUAGCACAUCCCUCUCUGCAGCACUAUAUAACCCUUUCAGGUUUAGCUCUCAUACUGAUUACAGUACAGGUCAACCAUCACUAAUUCAGCAUCACUAGGACCAGUAGGGUUUUAGAUUAGUAAUUUUGCCAGAUCACAGAGUGCAGCCUCAAACGUUAACCCUAGCCGCAAUUUAUGCCAUCCAUUUUUCAGUGUGAUUAGUGCAGGAUCAGUGAUGGCCAACCUGUAUAUUAUCACCUAGAUGGGUCAUUCAGGGCCAUUAAGCGGAAACGUCAUUAAAGGAAGAAUUUUUGCACCAGAAGUUUAAGGCCAAAAGAUUCCUCCACUUUUUGAAUACUAACUCUGGUGUAUGGUUCUACUGGACUCCCAGCUUUGUAUAAACCUUGAUAACUGAUACCAAAAGUGGUUUAAAAAGACCUGACCAAGCACUAGGACAUGUUAGAAAAUGUUUUGGUCCUGGGACCUUGAUCACUACUAAGGCUGGAGUUGAUUAAUGUCCCAGGACCAAAACUUUUUCUAACACGUGUCCUACCAUUUGCUCGCGUGUCUUUUAAACCAUCUCCCAGCUGAUGUCAGUCACACCUGGCAAAGUAUCCUAGUAGGCAGUGGUAAAGUGGGCACCACACUGAUUAUAAGAUGACCUACGGACCCUACUGGGGCCUGAGAUGCAAGAUUCUUAGUGUCCAUUAAAUCUGAAUGUUAAAAAAUCUAAAUGAACUAAAGUACUCCACUAUACAUACGACUUAUACACAAACAACCAGCACAUAGGAGAGAAACUUAUGACAUUUCGGUCCCACUUGGACUAUUAACUAGUCGCACAUUGGCACUAGUUCAUGGUCCAAGUAGGACCAAAACAUUAUCAUAAGCUUCCCUAUGUGCAGGUUUUGUUGUUCCAGUCACUGUAUUGUGCCUUUAUGUUCUUUAUAAUUUAUAGUUAUACCACAAUAAACAUUGAAAAUAAAGGAGUUUAAAAAAUAUAGCUUACCCAGGAUUUGAUCUUGCUUCAGAAGUCCAUUACAUCGAGAAUUGACUGUAUUACUGAGUGAAAUACUGGUCCAGGAGGGUCCACUGGGGUGUCUGGCACUACCGUGAACCUGGCACUGCAGUGCACCUUGCAACAAAACAUUUGUAAAUCCUGCCAAACUUACACAAGUUCCUACAUAAUUCUUCUGCAAUCUCAACUCAGGUGGCCCUUUUACUCCGACUCCUACUAUUUAUAUUCAUUUCAAAAUACAUUCCAGGUGUCAUAUUUUAUAUAUACAGAUAUAUAUUUAUUACUGAAUCUUAUCCUGGGGAGGAUAAUAACUGAUAUAUUGUAGAUUUAUCUAUAAAGGUUUAAUGCAUUGGUUUUAUUUAUUGCUUUUAUGAGAAAAAUUGGCAUUUUAUGAUGUUAAAGCCAUUAAAUGCACUGCAGAUUUAAUGAAAUUAGAAUUAAAUCUAUAAUAUAUAUAUAUAUAUAUAUAUAUAUAUAUAUAUAUGCAAGGACCUCAUUGUGCCUGAAUGUCCUAUACAGGAGGGCCCCGCUUAUACAGCAGGUUAGGUUCCAGGCUACUGGAAGGCCCCGCUUAUACAGCAGGUUAGGUUCCAGGCUACUGGAAGGCCCCGCUUAUACAGCAGGUUAGGUUCCAGGCUACUGGAAGGCCCCGCUUAUACAGCAGGUUAGGUUCCAGGCUACUGGAAGGCCCCGCUUAUACAGCAGGUUAGGUUCCAGGCUACUGGAAGGCCCUGCUUAUACAGCAGGUUAGGUUCCAGGCUACUGGAAGGCCCCGCUUAUACAGCAGGUUAGGUUCCAGGCUACUGGAAGGCCCCGCUUAUACAGCAGGUUAGGUUCCAGGCUACUGGAAGGCCCCGCUUAUACAGCAGGUUAGGUUCCAGGCUACUGGAAGGCCCUGCUUAUACAGCAGGUUAGGUUCCAGGCUACUGGAAGGCCCUGCUUAUACAGCAGGUUAGGUUCCAGGCUACUGGAAGGCCCCACUUAUACAGCAGGUUAGGUUCCAGGCUACUGGAAGGCCCCACUUAUAAAGCAGGUUAGGUUCCAGGCUACUGGAAGGCCCCACUUAUACAGCAGGUUAGGUUCCAGGCUACUGGAAGGCCCCGCUUAUACAGCAGGUUAGGUUCCAGGCUACUGGAAGGCCCCGCUUAUACAGCAGGUUAGGUUCCAGGCUACUGGAAGGCCCCGCUUAUACAGCAGGUUAGGUUCCAGGCUACUGGAAGGCCCCACUUAUAAAGCAGGUUAGGUUCCAAGCUACUGGAAGGCCCCACUUAUACAGCAGGUUAGGUUCCAGGCUACUGGAAGGCCCCACUUAUAAAGCAGGUUAGGUUCCAGGCUACUGGAAGGCCCCACUUAUACAGCAGGUUAGGUUCCAGGCUACUGGAAGGCCCCGCUUAUACAGCAGGUUAGGUUCCAGGCUACUGGAAGGCCCCGCUUAUACAGCAGGUUAGGUUCCAGGCUACUGGAAGGCCCCGCUUAUACAGCAGGUUAGGUUCCAGGCUACUGGAAGGCCCCACUUAUAAAGCAGGUUAGGUUCCAAGCUACUGGAAGGCCCCACUUAUACAGCAGGUUAGGUUCCAGGCUACUGGAAGGCCCCACUUAUACAGCAGGUUAGGUUCCAGGCUACUGGAAGGCCCCACUUAUACAGCAGGUUAGGUUCCAGGCUACUGGAAGGCCCCACUUAUACAACAGGUUAGGUUCCAGGCUACUGGAAGGCCCCACUUAUACAACAGGUUAGGUUCCAGGCUACUGGAAGGCCCUGCUUAUACAGCAGGUUAGGUUCCAGGCUACUGGAAGGCCCCACUUAUACAGCAGGUUAGGUUCCAGGCUACUGGAAGGUCCCGCUUAUACAGCAGGUUAGGUUCCAGGCUACUGGAAGGCCCCACUUAUACAGCAGGUUAGGCUCCAGGCUACUGGAAGGCCCCACUUAUACAACAGGUUAGGUUCCAGGCUACUGGAGGCCUCGCUUAUACAACAGGUUAGGUUCCAUGCUACUGGAAAAUCCUGCUUAUACAGCAGGUUAGGUUCUAGGUUACUGGAGGGUCCUGCUUAUACAGCAGGUUAGGUUCUAGGUUACUGGAGGGUCCUGCUUAUACAGCAGGUUAGGUUCUAGGUUACUGGAGGGUCCUGCUUAUACAGCAGGUUAGGUUCCAAGCUACUGGAGGACCCCGCUUGUACAGCAGGUUAGGUUCCAGGCUACUGAAGGGCCCCACUUGUACAGCAGGUUAGGUUCCAAGCUACUGAAGGGCCCCACUUAUACAGCAGGUUAGGUUCCAGGCUACUGAAGGGCCCCACUUGUAUAGCAGGUUAGGUUCCAGGCUACUGAAGGGCCCCACUUGUACAGCAGAUUAGGUUCCAGGCUACUGAAGGGCCCCACUUAUACAGCAGGUUAGGUUCCAGGCUACUGAAGGGCCCCACUUGUACAGCAGGUUAGGUUCCAGGCUACUGAAGGGCCCCACUUAUACAGCAGGUUAGGUUCCAGGCUACUGAAGGGCCCCACUUGUACAGCAGGUUAGGGUCCAGGUACUGCUGUAAAGUGAAAACCUUUUUUCACUUUCAAAUGCAAAUACAAGUCUGAUAACAUGUUUACUCUAUCAUAUAUUAAGUGAGUAAUAAAGCUAGGCCUAAAAAUUACAUAUACAGUGCACACAUAACUUACCUUAAAAUAUUUUCAGCCUUAGGUUAUAGUGAGCGAUGAAUGUGUUUGUGAGUCAAUAUAUUUGUUGUAGCAACUCUGAAUAAAUGAAGAGUGACUUUAAAACCCGCUGUAUUAGUAAAGCAGUGUAAAGUAAAGCAGUG